rnacentral:misc_RNA from 1 species
CCCAACUAUCCCUAUUAAUCAUUACAUCGAUCCUAGAAACCAACAAAAUAGAAUCAAAACGUCCUAUUUCAUUAUUCCAUGCUAAUGUAUUCAAGCGUAAGCCUGCUUUAAACACUCUAAUUUUUUCAAAGUAACAGUCCUGAUUCCCCAUGACACCAAAUUAAUGACAUCAUGGUUCGUCAGAAGGGAGAAAUCAAUAAGCUAGUACGUACCAAAGGCACGACCAACAUAUUGAUCCCGAAAUUCAACUACGAGCUUUUUAACUGCAACAACUUUAAUAUACGCUAUUGGAGCUGGAAUUACCGCGGCUGCUGGCACCAGACUUGCCCUCCA